GACGAACGCUGGCGGCGUGCUUAACACAUGCAAGUCGAACGGAAAGGCCCUGCUUUUGUGGGGUGCUCGAGUGGCGAACGGGUGAGUAACACGUGAGUAACCUGCCCCUGACUUUGGGAUAACUUCAGGCAACUGGGGCUAAUACCGGAUAGGAGCUCCUGCUGCAUGGUGGGGGUUGGAAAGUUUCGGCGGUUGGGGGUGGACUCGCGGCUUAUCAGCUUGUUGGGGGGGUAGUGGCUUACCAAGGCCUUGACGGGUAGCCGGCCUGCGAGGGUGACCGGCCACAUUGGGACUGGGAUACGGCCCAGACUCCUACGGGAGGCAGCAGUGGGGAAUAGUGCACAAUGGGCGGAAGCCUGAUGCAGCAACGCCGCGUGCGGGAUGACGGCCUUCGGGUUGUAAACCGCUUUCGCCUGUGACGAAGCGUGAGUGACGGUAAUGGGUAAAGAAGCACCGGCUAACUACGUG
rnacentral:rRNA from 1 species